rnacentral:snRNA from 1 species
GGAAGGAGGGUGAUCUGGCUGCAACAUCCCAUUGAUCACCAGGGUUGAUUCAGCUGAUCUGACUGGCUAGGCUGGUGUCCCCUUCCUCCCUCAGCAUUCCACGUGUGUCCCUCCCAAAGCUGUGUGCUCUUUCCCUGAAAGAGGAUGAUCUUCAGUCAAGGGUAUGUGAGUAGUUCAACUCCCCCGCUAGAACCUCCAAGCAAGCUCUCAAGGUCCAAAAGCCAGGUCCUGGACUCUGCAUUACACUGUAAAACACGAUGCUAUGCACAUUUAGCUUGUGGCAGAGCCAU